GAUGAACGCUGGCGGCGUGCCUAAUACAUGCAAGUCGAGCGAACAGACGAGGAGCUUGCUCCUCUGACGUUAGCGGCGGACGGGUGAGUAACACGUGGAUAACCUACCUAUAAGACUGGGAUAACUUCGGGAAACCGGAGCUAAUACCGGAUAAUAUAUUGAACCGCAUGGUUCAAUAGUGAAAGACGGUUUUGCUGUCACUUAUAGAUGGAUCCGCGCCGCAUUAGCUAGUUGGUAAGGUAACGGCUUACCAAGGCGACGAUGCGUAGCCGACCUGAGAGGGUGAUCGGCCACACUGGAACUGAGACACGGUCCAGACUCCGACGGGAGGCAGCAGUAGGGAAUCUUCCGCAAUGAGCGAAAGCCUGACGGAGCAACGCCGCGUGAGUGAUGAAGGUCGUCGGAUCGUAAAACUCUGUUAUUAGGGAAGAACAAAUGUGUAAGUAACUAGGCACGUCGUGACGGUACCUAAUCAGAAAGCCACGGCUAACUACG
rnacentral:rRNA from 1 species